CACAUCAAAAGGAGAAAAGAUAAAAAUCACAUGAUCAUCUCAACAGAAGCAUAAAAAGCAUUUGACAAAAUUCAACAUCCAUUUAUGAUAAAAAUUCUCAACAAAGUUGGUAUAGAGGGAAUACAUCUCAACAUAAUACAGGCAAUUUAUGACAGACUCACAGCUAACAUCAUACUCAGUUGUGAAAAGUUGAAAGCUUUUCUUCUAACAUCAGGAAUAAGAUAAGGAUGCCCACUCUCACCACUUCUGUAUGACACAGUGUAGGAUGGCCCAAAUUCAGCAAUCAGAAAAGAAAAAAAAAUAAAACACAUCCAAAUUGAAAGGAAAGAAAUAAAACUGUCAGUAUUGCAGAUGGCAUAAUAGUAUAUACAGAAAACCCUAAAGUCUCCACCAAAACCUUUUAGAAGUAAUAAAUGAAUUCAGCAAAGUUGAAGAACACAAAUUAAUAUAUAUAAAUCUGUUGCAUUUCUAUGCACUAAUAGAAAACUAUAACAAAGAGAAUUCACAAAGACAACCACAUUUAUAAUUGCAUUAAAAAGAAAAAAAAUACCUAGAAAUAAAUUUAACCAAGGAGGUUAAGGACCUGUACUCUGAAAACUAGAAGACAACGAUAAUGGAAUUGAAGAUGAUAUAAAUAAAUGGAACACUAUCCUGUGUUAAUGGACUGGAAGCAUUAAUAUUGUUAAAUGUCCAUACUACACAAAGCAAUCUACAUAUUUAUGCAACAUCUGUCAAGACACCCAUGACAUUUUUCACAGAACUAGAACAAAUAAUCCUAAAAUUCUUAUGAAGCCACAUAAGACCCUGAAUAA